AGUGAACGCUGGCGGUAGGCCUAACACAUGCAAGUCGAACGGCAGCACAGUAAGAGCUUGCUCUUACGGGUGGCGAGUGGCGGACGGGUGAGGAAUACAUCGGAAUCUACUUUUUCGUGGGGGAUAACGUAGGGAAACUUACGCUAAUACCGCAUACGACCUACGGGUGAAAGCAGGGGAUCUUCGGACCUUGCGCGAUUGAAUGAGCCGAUGUCGGAUUAGCUAGUUGGCGGGGUAAAGGCCCACCAAGGCGACGAUCCGUAGCUGGUCUGAGAGGAUGAUCAGCCACACUGGAACUGAGACACGGUCCAGACUCCUACGGGAGGCAGCAGUGGGGAAUAUUGGACAAUGGGCGCAAGCCUGAUCCAGCCAUACCGCGUGGGUGAAGAAGGCCUUCGGGGUGUAAAGCCCUUUUGUUGGGAAAGAAAAGCAGCAGGUUAAGACCCCGCUGUUCUGACGGUACCCAAAGAAUAAGCACCGGCUAACUUCGUG
rnacentral:rRNA from 1 species